AGUGAACGCUGGCGGUAGGCCUAACACAUGCAAGUCGAACGGCAGCACAGUAAGAGCUUGCUCUUACGGGUGGCGAGUGGCGGACGGGUGAGGAAUACAUCGGACUCUACUUUUUCGUGGGGGAUAACGUAGGGAAACUUACGCUAAUACCGCAUACGACCUACGGGUGAAAGCAGGGGAUCUUCGGACCUUGCGCGAUUGAAUGAGCCGAUGUCGGAUUAGCUAGUUGGCGGGGUAAAGGCCCACCAAGGCGACGAUCCGUAGCUCGUCUGAGAGGAUGGUCGCCGACCUUGGAACUGGGCCAGCGACAAGGCUCCUGCGGGACGGCGCAGUGGGGAAUGUUGGACAACGGGCGCGAGCAUUACCCAGCCGGACCGCGUGUGUUGAGACGGCGUUGGGGUUGUAAAGCCGUUUUGUUGGGAGAGAAAAGCAGCAGGUUGAGACCCAGCGGUAGUGACGGUAACCGAUGAAUAAGCACCGGCUAACUUCGUG
rnacentral:rRNA from 1 species